GGUGGAGGAGGAAGAAGUGAAGACGUCUUACCGGAGUUGGAGCGGAGAGCCAGGGGGGACUUGAGACGCCAGGCGCUGAGGUCAGGGGCAGCUCUCUGAAAGACGAACGGCACCGGCAAGGGGACAAACAUGAUCUUCCUCCGGCUUCGGCUUCUUUCUUUGGGUUCCGGUGCGAAUGAGGAGGAGCCGGGGCGAGCUCGGUCCUCGCCGGAGUCUCGGCGCUGUCGGUCCGGCUUGGUCGGGAGGCGGUUCGGCGUGGACGGCUCGCCGCUUGGGUAGGGGUAGUUGGAGGUACCUACUACAUCCUGGCCUGGUCUCCAUCAUACAAACAAAACAAAAUGUGUACCAGAUGAACGACCAAAGUCUCAGACAGGACACGACCCCUGGGGCGCCAAGCCAGUGAGCCCAUCCCGCGGGGGACCCAGCCAGGGGGAUGCCACCCACUCCCCAGAACAGUCCCCUAGCCCAACUGAAGUGCCCUGACCAGUCCCAAAUGGAGGGGCAUGGGUACUGGAGCACCGCCACGCCCAAUACUCCAAGUGCCCUACCGCCCCCACUACUCCCGGAGAGUACGGGGGCCCCAGCCACCAACGGGCCCAACGCAGGAGCCAGCUACCACCUGAAAAAGGUCACAGCCUGCCAAAAGUGAGCCCAUGUUAAGGACCCGUCGUGAGCAGUGACGGGCGAGGGCGCCAGGAGAGGAGAGAAGAAGGCAGGGACCCAAGGAGGGGGAGGGGGGGAGCCCAUCUUCCCGUGGCCCGACAACCGAAAUGUGUGUGGGGGGGGGGGUGCAGGCCCCAGGAGAAAUGUGAAUACUCCCACCCACCCUAUUACUAUGGUCACCAGGUCCCUGUCUGGCAACCAUUAUCCCUGCACCGUGAUCGUGUGUGGUGGGGUGUCUUUUUAUUUUCAAAAACAUUUAUGCACAUUUAUUAAAGUUUAUUUUGAAUUUAAAUAUAUAAAACUUUAAAUGUUUUAAUGGCAUUUCAACAAUUUGAUUAAGCUAUUGCAAGAUUAAUUUUAAGUGGAGAAUUGUUCAACAUAAAACAAUGGAUUCUGUUGAGGAGGGUUGUCGAUAUACAGUGGUGUCUUGAGAUAUGAGUUAAAUUCAUUGCGUGACCACACAUACCUAAAAGGAAAAAAAAAUUGGAUCUCAAAUCAUAUUUCCCCAUUGAAAUGAAUGGAAAUGCCAUUAAUCCGUUCCAGGCCCCCCCUCCCCCCAAAAAAACAAUUGUGUUUGUUUUUAAUCAGGAUCUAUAAUAUUGUGCGUCAUAAAACGUAGCGUAUGAUUAAAUAGAAUGUAAAGAAUAAAACACUGUGCAUCUUGAUUUAAUGCUCCAACCCAUUUCAAUGUGCUGUGCCUGCGUUGGUCACCGGCAGGCAGUACAAUAUAAGACGGCCAUGCAGACACAAAGAAGACACUUUUUCUUAUCCUACUACUACUGUGAGUGACUCAAAAACUAUUGUAUAUUAGUCAUUUUUCAUAGAGGACAAGGAAUAUAUGCCUGUGAGUAUUGUUCUAUAACAUUUCUAAAUAUGUUACUCCACUGUUCGUGUUGAAAUAUCCGUUGCUUAAAUUGUCGAUGUUAACCACGACCAUCCAAAUGAUGUUUUCCAUUUAUGCUAGCAUUAAGCUAAACUGACUCUCGUGAGGCAGAGCUAUGUAGUUAUUUAAAAUAUACGAUGUGUAAUUCUCUUUGUUGUGUUUAGCUUGACAGUAAACCUCAACUGGGAGUGGCAUUAAACAGCUUGAAGCCACUUUUUUUGAGGAAUUGACUGAAACACCUAGAGAUUACUUUUUACACCAUUUAAAAUAUUAUGAGAUCUUUUUUUUGUUGUUGUUGAUGUUCCACCUCGAGUCAGAACCCAUUUAUAUGUGUAAAAAAAAAAAAAAAAUCCCAAUCUUAAAAUUACACCAACACCUUGCAGUUAGUUACUUUUUAUGUAAUUGUUAAAAUAAGGCUACAUGGACCCUCAUGUGUCUGAGCAACACACAAAAACUUGGACUAUGGAGUACAAGUACUCUAUAAGAGCUGGGGCCACUAUUUGAUGUGAUACGCUAUGCGCUUUGAUGUUGUCCAUCUAAAUUGGUCCGAUUGGUUCAAGCUGCCUAUAGGGCCCCCACAGCCUUUCUUGCCCCAAAAGAGGCUUCUGCUCCCCGGGGACCCUGGAAGACCCAAGGGCCAGAGGAACGAGAGACACAGACCAAUAACACCUGCUGGACCGCUGUCAUAGGGAACUUAACUCCCACCCAAUCCACCCCCCACCCCACCCUCCAUUCAUUUUCACCAUACAACCGCUGUUUCAAAUAUGCCAGCACAUCUUUCAUAUUCGGUAAUGGACGUAAUGAUGGCAUUCAGCAAUUAUGGAUGAUUACGCGAAAAUGAGGUGGAGGCAUACGGUCUCCAUAAUCACUGAUAUUAUGGUUUAAAGCACUGCCUUGUCUGUAUACAUCAGUAUUAUGCCUCUACGUUACACAAAGUAAAAUCUUUCAAUAAACAGGAUUGUUGAAAUUUUUGCAGAUUUAUUAAAAAAAAAGAAAAACUGAAACAUCACACAGCCGUAAGUAUUCAGACCCUUUGUUCAGUGUUUAGUAGAAGCGCCCUUUUGAGCUAAUACAGCCAUGAGUCUUUUUGGGAAUGAUGCAACAAGUUUUUCACACCUGGAUUUGGGGAUCCUCUGCCAUUCCUCCUUGCAGAUCCUCUCCAGUUCUGUCAGGUUGGAUGGUGAACGUUGGUUUGCAGCCAAUUUCAGGUCUUUCCAGAGAUGCUCAAUUGGGUUUAAGUCAAGGCUCUGAAGCCACUCCUUUGUUAUUUUAGCUGCGCUUAGGGUCAUUGUCUUGUUGGAAGGUGAACCUUCGGCCCAGUCUGAGGUCCUGAACACUCUGGAGAAGGUUUUCGUCCAGGAUAUCCCUGUAUUUGGCCGCAUUCAUCUUUCCUUCGAUCGUCCUGUCCCUGCAGCUGAAAAACACCCCCACAGCAUGAUGCUGCCACCACCAUGCUUCACUGUUGGGACUGUGUUGGACAGAUGAUGAGCAGUUCCUGGUUUUCUCUACACAUACCGCUUAGAAUUAAGGCCAAAAAGUUCUCUCUUGGUCUUAUCAGACCAGAGAAUCUUAUUUCUCACCAUCUUGGAGUCCUUCCAUGCGGGCUUUACGAGUCUUGCACUGAGGAGAGGCUUCCGUCGAGCUACUCUGCCAUAAAGCCCCGACUGAUGGAGGGCUGCAGUGAUGGUUGACUUUCUAGAACCUUCUCCCAUCUCCCGACUGCAUCUCUGGAGCUCAGCCACAGUGAUCUUUGGGUUCUUCUUUACCUCUCUCACCAAGGCUCUUCUGCCCCGAUUGCUCAGUUUGGCCGGACGGUUAGCUCUAGGAAGGGUUCUGGUCGUCCAAACGUCUUCCAUUCAAGGAUUAUGGAGGCCACCGUGCUCUUAGGAACCUUAAGUGCCGUGGAAUUUUUUUUUGUAACCUUGCCCAGAUCUGUGCCUUGCCACAAUUCUGUCUCUGACCUCUUCAGGCAGUUCCUUUGACCUCAUGAUUAGUCAUUUGCUAAGGUGCUCAUUCUAAGGUGUAGAACCAUCUCAAGGAUGAUCAGAAGAAAUGGACAGCACCCGAGUGAAAUGAGUGUCACAGCAAAGGGUCUGAAUACUUAUAGCCAGUUUUUCUUUUUUAAUAAAUCUCCCCAAAAAUUCAACAAUUAAAUUUUUUCGGUCAAUAUGGGGUGCUGUGUGUACAUUAAUGAUGAAAAAAAAAAUGAACUUUUUACCAAAUGGCUGCACUAUAACAAAGAGUGAAACAUUUAAGGGGGUUUGAAUACUUUCCGUACCCACUGUGUAUGAUCAAAAUGACUUUUUCUCACAUAACUUGCUGUGGACAAUAAAAA